CAGGCUGCAACUCGCCUGCACGAAGUUGGAAUUGCUAGUAAUCGUGGAUCAGCAUGCCACGGUGAAUACGUUCCCGGGUCUUGUACACACCGCCCGUCACACCAUGGGAGCCGGUAAUACCCGAAGUCAGUAGUCUAACCGCAAGGAGGACGCUGCCGAAGGUAGGAUUGGCGACUGGGGUGAAGUCGUAACAAGGUACC
rnacentral:rRNA from 1 species